UACGUAGGGGGCGAGCGUUGUCCGGAUUCAUUGGGCGUAAAGCGCUUUAAGGCGGUUCGCUAAGUCGCGUGUGAAAACUUCAGGCUCAACCUGGAGACGCCACGCGAUACUGGCGUGACUAGAGUUCGGUAGGGGAUCACGGAAUUCCUGGUGUAGCGGUGAAAUGCGCAGAUAUCAGGAGGAACACCGGUGGCGAAGGCGGUGAUCUGGGCCGACACUGACGCUGUAGAGCGAAAGCGUGGGGAGCGAACAGG
rnacentral:rRNA from 1 species